UAUUCCGUGUCCUAUGCCAAAGUUUAGCAGAAAGUUUAGCUAAACAGACUUCUAUGGGCACGGGUAAGCCUCGGGCAAGGAGCGAACAACCACUGUAGACACAGAUCUCAGUUAUUUAACGUUAGUUAUUACAGACAGAUCUGGCAUUUCUCCAUCUGGAAAAUACUACUUAAAACACAACUGCAAUUAUUUUAUUUUAUAUUUGUCCAAGAUAGCUAGCUGCAAAGCUAGCAAGCUAGUUAAUUUAAGAUGUCUCUAGAUCCAGUUCGCCAGCAGAGCAGCACUCGCCAAAAAGACAGCAAACCAAAAGCUGCCAACAUUGCAGUGGGUGCCGGAUAGACAAUGGUGGUCCUUCAUUCUCGAAUGUGAAGCCGACGGACCCUAGCAGGAAGGACCAGAGAAAAGUGUUUGCUUAAGGAGAGGAACGACAUGCAUGACCUUCUGGCUCUCCUCUCUACUGAGACCGAUCUGGCCACAGCAGCGCAGGCCCAGCUCCAACAGACCGAUCUGGCCACAGCAGCGCAGGCCCAGCUCUAACAGACCGAUCUGACCACAGCAGCGCAGGCCUAGCUCUAACAGACCGAUCUGACCACAGCAGCGCAGGCCCAGCUCUAACAGACCGAUCUGACCACAACAGCGCAGGCCCAGCUCUAACAGACCGAUCUGACCACAGCAGCGCAGGCCCAGCUCUAACAGACCGAUCUGACCACAACAGCGCAGGCCCAGCUCUAACAGACCGAUCUGACCACAGCAGCGCAGGCCCAGCUCUAACAGACCGAUCUGGCCACAGCAGCGCAGACCCAGCUCCAACAGACCGAUCUGACCACAGCAGCGCAAGCCCAGCUCCAACAGACCGAUCUGACCACAGCAGCGCAGGCCCAGCUCCAACAGACCGAUCUGACCACAGCAGCGCAGGCCCAGCUCCAACAGACCGAUCUGGCCACAGCAGCGCAGGCCCAGCUCUAACAGUGGUCUUCCCAACAGGCUGUCCUGUUCUGCUCCCCUUUGGCAACAGCUACUGCCACAACAAAAGAGGAUUGCUCUGAAGAGUACCUGCUGGAUACAGGUAAUUGAAAUUAUCACACACAUAUUUAUGUGUGCAGGCACUAAGUCAUUCUGUCGUUCUCUCACUCACACACACACACACACACACACACACACACACACACGUACAAGACACCGUCUUGUACCACGGCCGAUGGACAGAGCCCAUUAGAGCUGCCAGUGAUAGGCUACUGGCCAAUCACCACGGGGAAGAAGAUAUCCUGAAGCGGGUGAAUCUGCUCUGCUCUUAACACCACCCCAGAGAAGCUCCUAGCGACACACAGCUGUGGCAUUAUGUUACUGUAGAGAGUGAAACAGUCAGUGUCCCAGUCAUGUCCUCAGUCAUGUCCCCUACCACCUGCACUUACCCAGCAGAAGGCCUCACCUACUCAACGUUUCCAUUUGAGGAUUUAGCUUCCGCUGCCUUCUUUCAAUGGGAAAUGGAGGCCUCGAAGCAGAGGGGGCAGUGAGGAAGGAGCGAACAGAGGAAAGAGAUGAGCAUCCCUCCGGCCGUCUGUACAGGUUCUGCCAGCAGCCGCUGAAACAAAUAUCCAACAGCCCAUAUCAGCUUUUCUUGAGUGGUAGGAAAAUGUCUACUGCCUAGUGUUUCCCCUGUACAUUGUACAGGGCAUUGGAGGGAGCUCCAACAGUCUGCCUUUUAUGAGGCUGAAAAGAAGAGAUGGAUGGUGGAGAAGGGUAGUGACUCUAUACACACCUACACACAGAAAUAAAUAGGAGCUGCAAAUCUAUUGUCAUGGAAAUUACCACCAGGGACUCAAAGUCAAACUUAAAUGAAUCAUUCUUUAUUUUCAGUUAACUGGUUCCAACAAACUUAAUGCACCAUAGUACACGUCGGUCGGGAGCUCUGUCCCUCAAUUGUUCGCGGAUGAUGUGUCUCCUUUUGGGCAGCUCACAGUAAGGGUCUGGGUGGGUCCUCGUUUUUUGGUCCUUCAUGCUUCAUGAAAUGUGCCACCGGUUUUCCUCACUGGAAAGCUCCGCAGGCAGAAUCAAUCAUCUGGUUCUUGAUGCCAAAUUGUCAUGGAAAUUACCACCAGGGACUCAAAGUCAAACUUAAAACGAAUCAUUAUUUAUUGUCAGUUAACUGGAGAAGUUCCAACAAACUUAAUGCACCAUAGUACACGUCGGUCGGGAGCUCUCCGGGGCAGUCCCGUUAGUUCUCUUAGAUACUGCUUACACAGACAAGUUAUAUUAGCAUGAUUUACAUUGUACAUUAUUCCUGAUUAAUUCAUUUGGUUAUUGCUUAAACUAUCAAAGGAGGUUCUAUUAAAUACGUCAUUAUAAGUAAGCGAAAUGAACACAUAAAACCAGACACUUCAUCCUUUCAAACCCUUCAUUCUGUGUUGUGCAAUCCAACUUGUAUAACCAUUGCAGUAGAAUGUUUUAUGCUUCGCUACAGGACACUAUUUCCAUUGAUGGAAGUGGUUAGGACUCUCGUUUGCUUUGUAUCUAACUCACUGUUCAUUAUUUGAUAUUUAAUCAGUAAGGCCAGAGGAGGUGUGGUAUAUGGCCAAUAUACCACAGUUAAGGGCUGUUCUUAUGCAAGACACAACGCAGAGUGGCUGGACACAGCCUUAGCCGUGGUAUACUGUCCAUAUAUCACAAACCCCAGAGGUGGCUUAUUGCUAUUAUAAACUAGUUACCAAUGUAAUCAGAGCAGUAAAACUACAUGUGCUUUCAGCCAAUCAGAAUUCAGGACUCAAACCACCCAGUUUAUAAUACUGAACAUACAUUGCUGUAUAUUUUGUUGUACAAAGGAUUGUUCUCCAACACUAUCAUAAAUACAGUAUGCCUGUGAUUUCAUUAAAGUAAACCUCAAAGUAAA